AUUGAACGCUGGCGGCAGGCCUAACACAUGCAAGUCGAACGAGUGGCGGACGGGUGAGUAAUGUCUGGGAAACUUCCUGUUGGAUGGGGAUAACUACUGGAAACGGUAGCUAAUACCGCAUACCAUCGGAUGUGCCCAGAUGGGAUUAGCUAGUGGGUGGGGUAACGGCUCACCUAGGCGGCGAUCCCUAGCUGGUCUGAGAGGAUGACCAGCAACACUGGAACUGAGACACGGUCCAGACUCCUACGUGAGGAGGCAGUGGGGAAUAUUGUACAAUGGGCGCAAGCCUGAUGCAGCCAUGCCGCGUGUAUGAAGAAGGCUUUCGGGUUGUAAAGUACUUUCAGCGGGGAGGCGUAACCCUCAGAAGAAGCACCGGCUAACUCCGUGCCAGCAGCCGCGGUAAUUC
rnacentral:rRNA from 1 species